AUGGGAGACGAAUGUUCAAACCCACAUCUCGCUAAGCCUGGAAGCUCGCCACAGUGGGAUCAUGGGACCCCGAGGGAAGAGGCUGAGAACCAGUCCAGCACCCGCGUUCCUCGGGUUUUAAAAGCACAUCUGGGGCCAGAGACUGCAUAGCCAACGAAACGGAGUAAACGCGACAGGUGGAGGAGGCAGAGUUGUCAGGGGCCAAGCCCCGCGCGAUCUGGCCAGAGUCUUGGGGAGCGCGGACCUGGGACUGCAGAGAGGCGUUUUGAAGCGUGCUGCGCGCACCUGCCUCUCGGAGAUACUCGACUCCACCCGGGCGUCUCCUGAGAGCCGGCAGUCCACAGACCCCGGGAGGGCUGCCCGCCCUAGGACACGUCCUCUCUCGACCCCUCACUCUUUCAAAACUGGGGAAGAGGCGGAGGGGAUGAAAAAGAAGAAAGAGAGAGAGAAGGAAAGAGAAAGAAGGAAAUAA